UGGAGUCCCGUCCUCACUCUCCUCGCCUCUUUUCCCCUCCUCAUCCCUUGUUCUGCCACCACUGUAUUCCUUCUGACUCGAAUCCAAGGGAGAGACGACCUGAUCUGGUGGGCUUGUGGCGACAGAGAUGGCAGGGGAAUCCAGCGGACUGAUGAAUAGUAACUAGCAAUCCAACCCGGUUAUGUUCAUGCCCAUGGCUGUAGAUUUAUUUUUCUGUGUGAGUCUGAUUGUAGCAGCGAGCACCCCCAGUUUUGUAACUUGAGUCUGUACAUCUAGGGACUUCCAGUUUUUUUGUGUGUGUGAAUCUGAAUGUAGCAGCGAGCACCCCAGUUUUGUAAUUGUAAUCUGAAUGUAGCAGCUAGCACCCCAUUUUGUAAUCUUGAGUUUGUAGCACAUACUACAUAUAGACAGCAGACAGAGUUGCCUGCCAUUUUUGUCUGAAAUUUAAGAGGCAUAAUGCGAGUGGAUAAACAUUUUCAGUGGCA